GAUGAACGCUGGCGGCGUGCCUAAUACAUGCAAGUCGAGCGAACAGACGAGGAGCUUGCUCCUCUGACGUUAGCGGCGGACGGGUGAGUAACACGUGGAUAACCUACCUAUAAGACUGGGAUAACUUCGGGAAACCGGAGCUAAUACCGGAUAAUAUAUUGAACCGCAUGGUUCAAUAGUGAAAGACGGUUUUGCUGUCACUUAUAGAUGGAUCCGCGCCGCAUUAGCUAGUUGGUAAGGUAACGGCUUACCAAGGCAACGAUGCGUAGCCGACCUGAGAGGGUGAUCGGCCACACUGGAACUGAGACACGGUCCAGACUCCUACGGGAGGCAGCAGUAGGGAAUCUUCCGCAAUGGGCGAAAGCCUGACGGAGCAACGCCGCCUGAGUGAUGAAGGUCUUCGGAUCGUAAAACUCUGUUAUUAGGGAAGAACAAAUGUGUAAGUAACUAUGCACGUCUUGACGGUACCUAAUCAGAAAGCCACGGCUAACUACGUG
rnacentral:rRNA from 1 species